CACGGUCGUCGUCUUCCCCGAUCUGUUCUCAUCCCCGAAGAGGUCACGCUCACGCAGCUUCGAAUUCAUUCGGUUUGUGGGCGACGGCGUACGGGACGGACGCAAAGGGACAAGCGAAACGAAAGCCCUGUGAUGUUUACCGGGCUAUAUUCCUUCCUUUACUGUUCCGUGUCACGUCGCAUCACGGCUUUUCCGCUCGUAAUAAUAGUAUGAUGGACCGAUAGUGUUUUUACCGUGGACCACAAUCCACACAACUGGUUAUUACGUGCAUAAUCUUUGAAGUUUUUUUUAACACAGUACAGACGCAAUCGUUUAUAUACAUGUGCAU
rnacentral:lncRNA from 1 species